rnacentral:rRNA from 1 species
AGUGAACGCUGGCGGUAGGCCUAACACAUGCAAGUCGAACGGCAGCACAGGAGAGCCUGCUCUCUAGGUGGCGAGUGGCGGACGGGUGAGGAAUACAUCGGAAUCUGCCCAGUCUUGGGGGAUAACGUAGGGAAACUUACGCUAAUACCCCAUACGACCUUCGGGUGAAAGAGGGGGAUCGCAAGACCUCUCGCGAUUGGAUGAGCCGAUGUCGGAUUAGCUAGUUAGCGGGGUAAUGGCCCACCAAGGCGACGAUCCGUAGCUGGUCUGAGAGGAUGAUCAGCCACACUGGAACUGAGACACGGUCCAGACUCCUACGGGAGGCAGCAGUGGGGAAUAUUGGACAAUGGGCGCAAGCCUGAUCCAGCCAUACCGCGUGGGUGAAGAAGGCCUUCGGGUUGUAAAGCCCUUUUGUUGGGAAAGAAAUCUUUCAGGCUAAUACCCUGGGAGGAUGACGGUACCCAAAGAAUAAGCACCGGCUAACUUCGUG